rnacentral:rRNA from 1 species
AUACGGAGGAUCCGAGCGUUAUCCGGAUUUAUUGGGUUUAAAGGGAGCGUAGGUGGAUUGUUAAGUCAGUUGUGAAAGUUUGCGGCUCAACCGUAAAAUUGCAGUUGAAACUGGCAGUCUUGAGUACAGUAGAGGUGGGCGGAAUUCGUGGUGUAGCGGUGCAAUGCUUAGAUAUCACGAAGAACUCCGAUUGCGAAGGCAGCUCGCUAGACUGUUACUGACACUGAUGCUCGAAAGUGUGGGUAUCAAACAGGAUUAGAUACCCUGGUAGUCCACACAGUAAACGAUGAAUACUCGCUGUUUGCGAUAUACAGUAAGCGGCCAAGCGAAAGCAUUAAGUAUUCCACCUGGGGAGUACGCCGGCAACGGUGAAACUCAAAUGAAUUGACGGGG